rnacentral:lncRNA from 1 species
AAAGAUAAAAAAUCCGACGAACCCUUACAAAUUGGCACCUACCACUACUCGGACUACAAAAACUGCAUCGUCAUGGAGAUGCCCUAUCAUGGUGAUGACGAGUGCGUCCUGUGGGUGUCCGAAAAAGCCAUCGACGACGUUCCGCAAGCCUGCCAAGAUCACUACGAAGACAACUGCGAGGACGCGAAACUGUCUUACGACAAGGAUUCCUGCAGUAUCAUGGAGAAUUAAUUUUACUAAAUCUGUCAUUCUGU